rnacentral:tRNA from 1 species
GCGGGUAUCGUAUAGCGGUUAUUAUGUAAGUUUUCCAAACUUGAGACGAGGGUUCGACUCCCUCUACCCGCUCCA